UACAGAGGGUGCGAGCGUUAAUCGGAAUUACUGGGCGUAAAGCGCACGUAGUCGGCUUUGCAAGUCGGGUGUGAAAUCCCAGGGCUUAACCUUGGAACUGCACUUCUAACUACCGGGCUAGAGUACGUCAGAGGGGGGUAGAAUUCCACGUGUAGCAGUGAAAUGCGUAGAGAUGUGGAGGAAUACCGAUGGCGAAGGCAGCCCCCUGGGAUGAUACUGACGCUCAUGCACGAAAGCGUGGGGAGCAAACAGG
rnacentral:rRNA from 1 species